rnacentral:rRNA from 1 species
AUUGAACGCUGGCGGCAGGCCUAACACAUGCAAGUCGAGCGGAUGAUGGGAGCUUGCUCCCGGAUUCAGCGGCGGACGGGUGAGUAAUGCCUAGGAAUCUGCCUGGUAGUGGGGGACAACGUUUCGAAAGGAACGCUAAUACCGCAUACGUCCUACGGGUGAAAGCAGGGGACCUUCGGGCCUUGCGCUAUCAGAUGAGCCUAGGUCGGAUUAGCUAGUUGGUGGGGUAAAGGCCUACCAAGGCGACGAUCCGUAACUGGUCUGAGAGGAUGAUCAGUCACACUGGAACUGAGACACGGUCCAGACUCCUACGGGAGGCAGCAGUGGGGAAUAUUGGACAAUGGGCGAAAGCCUGAUCCAGCCAUGCCGCGUGUGUGAAGAAGGUCUUCGGAUUGUAAAGCACUUUAAGUUGGGAGGAAGGGCAGUAAGUUAAUACCUUGCUGUUUUGACGUUACCAACAGAAUAAGCACCGGCUAACUUCGUGCCAGCCGCCGCAGUAACAC